ACCUACGGGGGGCAGCAGUAGGGAAUUUUCGUCAAUGGGCGCAAGCCUGAACGAGCAAUGCCGCGUGAACGAGGAAGGUCUUCGGAUCGUAAAGUUCUGUUGAAGGGGAAAAAGAGCGGAGAGAGGAAAUGCUUUCUGAUUGAUAUUACCCUUCGAGGAAGUCACGGCUAACUACGUGCCGACAGCCGCGGUAAUACGUAGGUGGCGAGCGUUAUCCGGAAUGAUUGGGCGUAAAGGGUGCGUAGGCGGCCUGCUAAGUCUGGAGUGAAAGGUACCGGCUCAACCGGUACAGGCUCUGGAAACUG
rnacentral:rRNA from 1 species